UACGGAGGGUGCGAGCGUUGUCCGGAAUCACUGGGCGUAAAGGGCGCGUAGGCGGCGCGGAUAGUCGGCGGUGAAAGCCCGGAGCUCAACUCCGGGUCGGCCGUCGAUACUUCCGGGCUUGAGCACUGUAGAGGCAGAUGGAAUUCCGGGUGUAGCGGUGGAAUGCGUAGAGAUCCGGAAGAACACCGGUGGCGAAGGCGAUCUGCUGGGCAGUUGCUGACGCUGAUGCGCGAAAGCGUGGGGAGCAAACAGG
rnacentral:rRNA from 1 species